rnacentral:rRNA from 1 species
AGUGAACGCUGGCGGUAGGCCUAACACAUGCAAGUCGAACGGCAGCACAGUAAGAGCUUGCUCUUACGGGUGGCGAGUGGCGGACGGGUGAGGAAUACAUCGGAAUCUACUUUUUCGUGGGGGAUAACGUAGGGAAACUUACGCUAAUACCGCAUACGACCUACGGGUGAAAGCAGGGGAUCUUCGGACCUUGCGCGAUUGAAUGAGCCGAUGUCGGAUUAGCUAGUUGGCGGGGUAAAGGCCCACCAAGGCGACGAUCCGUAGCUGGUCUGAGAGGAUGAUCAGCCACACUGGAACUGAGACACGGUCCAGACUCCUACGGGAGGCAGCAGUGGGGAAUAUUGGACAAUGGGCGCAAGCCUGAUCCAGCCAGACCGCGUGGGUGAAGAAGGCCUUCGGGUUGUAAAGCCCUUUGUUGGGAAAGAAAAGCAGCAGGUUAAUACCCCGCUGUUCUGACGGUACCCAAAGAAUAAGCACCGGCUAACUUCGUG